GUACACUAGUGACCAGUAUACAAACAUCAGCAGCCGACUUCAUAACUACCCAGGAUGCAGCUACAUCAUUACCUGUUACAACUGAACGUGUCACUACACUGCUGUCCAGUAUACCAACAUCAGCAGCAGACUUCAGUACUACCCAGGGUGCAGCUACGCCAUUACCUGUUACAACUGAACGUGUCAGUACACUAGUGACCAGUAUACCAACAUCAGCAGCCGACUUCAUAACUACCCAGGGUGAAGUUACAUCAUUACCUGUUACAACUGAACGUAAGUUUUCAGUUGUACAUUGAAUUGUUUUGUAAUGUUGUAGGAUGCAGAGACUACCGACUAAAUAAUUUCUGUAAUCCAACUUGCUAGACUAUAUAUAUUUUUCUUUUUUGA